rnacentral:piRNA from 1 species
UACAAGAAUUGUGAACACACAGGGUUGGG